rnacentral:rRNA from 1 species
GAUGAACGCUAGCGACAGGCUUAACACAUGCAAGUCGAGGGGCAGCGGGGAGUAGCAAUACUCUGCCGGCGACCGGCGCACGGGUGCGUAACGCGUAUGCAACCUACCCAUAAGAGUGGAAUAACCCGGCGAAAGUCGGACUAAUACCGCAUAAAGCAGGGGUCCCGCAUGGGAAUAUUUGCUAAAGAUUUUAUCGCUUAUGGAUGGGCAUGCGUUCCAUUAGGUAGUUGGUUUGGGGUAACGGCCCACCAAGCCUACGAUGGAUAGGGGUUCUGAGAGGAAGGUCCCCCACACUGGUACUGAGACACGGACCAGACUCCUACGGGAGGCAGCAGUGAGGAAUAUUGGUCAAUGGGCGAGAGCCUGAACCAGCCAAGUCGCGUGAAGGAUGAAGGAUCUAUGGUUCGUAAACUUCUUUUAUUGGGGAAUAACGGCAGGUACGUGUACCUGAGAGGAAUGUACCCAUAUGAAUAAGCAUCGGCUAACUCCGUGCCAGCAGCCGCCGUAAAAC